rnacentral:rRNA from 1 species
UACGAGGGGGGCGGAGCGUUGUUCGGAAUUAUUGGGCGUAAAGGGUGCGUAGGCGGUUCCGCAAGUCCUGUGUGAAAUCUUCGGGCUCAACUCGAAGUCUGCACGGGAAACUGCGGGGCUUGAGUGUGGGGAGAGGUGAGUGGAAUUCCCGGGUGUAGCGGUGAAAUGCGUAGAUAUCGGGAGGAACACCGGUGGCGAAGGCGGUUCUCUGGGCCUGACCUGACGCUGAGGAGCGAAAGCGU